GUCUUCUUCCUCAUGGCCUGGAAAGCUCUUCAGAGAGGCUUUGAGCUGCGCUCUCCGGGCCGGCGGUGCGCUCCUGUCAUUUUCCCUUGAGGCCACUGGGUGGCGCUGAAGGAGCCGGGAUUGCCAGUAAGACUGUUGCUUCCAACUCCUGUCACAGCGGUUUGGGGAAGAGCAGUCAGUCACACAGGUACCACACAGGUGAGCUUGAUUUGGAUCAAUACAUUUUGGAGAGCAAGAUUUGGAUCAAUAAAUUUUGGCAGUGCCUCUUUUGGGGAGCCGGAGUGACAAAGGAUCCAAGAGGAAGUC
rnacentral:lncRNA from 1 species